UUAAAAAAAAUAUUAACUCAACUUGGUGGGGUGCGCCAGGCCAAAGUAGUAGUGCAACGCAACGGUGACGCUUGAAAGCCCAGGUAGCAAGCUACCUUGAUGGGCUUUCCCCCUAAAAAAAUUAAGUUAAUAUCGUGUGG